GAGCGGACAGAUGGGGAGCUUGCUCCCUGAUGUUAGCGGCGGACGGGUGAGUAACACGUGGGUAACCUGCCUGUAAGACUGGGAUAACUCCGGGAAACCGGGGCUAAUACCGGAUGGUUGUCUGAACCGCAUGGUUCAGACAUAAAAGGUGGCUUCGGCUACCACUUACAGAUGGACCCGCGGCGCAUUAGCUAGUUGGUGAGGUAACGGCUCACCAAGGCGACGAUGCGUAGCCGACCUGAGAGGGUGAUCGGCCACACUGGGACUGAGACACGGCCCAGACUCCUACGGGAGGCAGCAGUAGGGAAUCUUCCGCAAUGGACGAAAGUCUGACGGAGCAACGCCGCGUGAGUGAUGAAGGUUUUCGGAUCGUAAAGCUCUGUUGUUAGGGAAGAACAAGUGCCGUUCAAAUAGGGCGGCACCUUGACGGUACCUAACCAGAAAGCCACGGCUAACUACGUGCCAGCAGCCGCGGUAAUACGUAGGUGGCAAGCGUUGUCCGGAAUUAUUGGGCGUAAAGGGCUCGCAGGCGGUUUCUUAAGUCUGAUGUGAAAGCCCCCGGCUCAACCGGGGAGGGUCAUUGGAAACUGGGGAACUUGAGUGCAGAAGAGGAGAGUGGAAAAA
rnacentral:rRNA from 1 species